UACGGGGGGGGCAAGCGUUGUUCGGAAUUACUGGGCGUAAAGGGCUUGUAGGUGGCCAACUAAGUCAGACGUGAAAUCCCUCGGCUUAACCGGGGAACUGCGCCUGAUACUGGAUGGCUUGAGUGUGGGAGAGGGAUGCGGAAUUCCAGGUGUAGCGGUGAAAUGCGUAGAUAUCUGGAGGAACACCGGUGGCGAAGGCGGCAUCCUGGACCAUUACUGACACUGAAAAGCGAAAGCCAGGGGAGCAAACGGG
rnacentral:rRNA from 1 species